GUGCACACUUUGGCAGCACAUACACUAAAACUGGAAUGAUACAGAUAAGGUUAGCAUGGCCCCUGUACAAGGAUGACGCGCAAAUUCGUGAAGCAUUCCAUAUUUUU